UGGAAGCAGGGCACCGGAUGCCCACUAGGUGGUAACUGGGAGGACUGAGUGGACAUGUGGAAGUACUAAGAUGGCAUAGGGGGACACUGGAUAACAACUGGAGACACCAAGCGGGUACUUGGAAGCACUGGGAGGCACUGGGAAGCUAUUGGGUUAACAGCGUCAGCAUCCAACACAGGAAGCUGCUUGGAGGAUAAAAUUGCUAUCAGGCUGAGCUCUUGGACCAUGGCUGGAGCUACUAGUCCAUGUUGGGGUCAGAGCUCAAGAAUUACAAGGGAUCUGCAAUCAAGGUCCUGGAUGUCCCUUGCUAGACAAGAAGGCUGAGACAGUCUCGCAGUAUCUAGGCUGUGUAAUGCCGGGUUUGGUGAUGGUGUGGGUGGGUUGAGGGAAAACCUGUCAGAG